rnacentral:rRNA from 1 species
UACGGAGGGUGCGAAGCGUUAAUCGGAAUUACUGGGCGUAAAGCGUGCGUAGGCGGUUCGUUAAGUCUGUUGUGGAAAGCCCCGGGCUCAACCUGGGAAUGGCAAUGGAUACUGGCGAGCUAGAGUGUGUCAGAGGGAUGGUGGAAUUCCCGGUGUAGCGGUGAAAUGCGUAGAGAUCGGGAGGAACAUCAGUGGCGAAGGCGGCCAUCGUGGGACAACACUGACGCUGAGGCACGAAAGCGUGGGGAGCAAACAGGG